GGCCCAAUGGUCUAGUGGUAAGAUACUUGCUUUGGGUAGCCCUUCGGCAUACAAUUUGCAAGGGAUCCUGGGUUCGAACCCCAGUUGGGCCC
rnacentral:tRNA from 1 species